CAGGCUUAACACAUGCAAGUCGAGGGGCAUCAGGACGAUAGCUUGCUUUCUUUGCUGGCGACCGGCGCACGGGUGAGUAACACGUAUCCAACCUGCCCUUUACUCGGGGAUAGCCUUUCGAAAGAAAGAUUAAUACCCGAUAGCAUAAUGAUUCCGCAUGGUUUCAUUAUUAAAGGAUUCCGGUAAAGGAUGGGGAUGCGUUCCAUUAGGUUGUUGGUGAGGUAACGGCUCACCAAGCCUUCGAUGGAUAGGGGUUCUGAGAGGAAGGUCCCCCACAUUGGAACUGAGACACGGUCCAAACUCCUACGGGAGGCAGCAGUGAGGAAUAUUGGUCAAUGGGCGCUAGCCUGAACCAGCCAAGUAGCGUGAAGGAUGAAGGCUCUAUGGGUCGUAAACUUCUUUUAUAUAAGAAUAAAGUGCAGUAUGUAUACCGUUUUGUAUGUAUUAUAUGAAUAAGGAUCGGCUAACUCCGUGCCAGCAGCCGCGGUAAUACGGAGGAUCCGAGCGUUAUCCGGAUUUAUUGGGUUUAAAGGGAGCGUAGGUGGACUGGUAAGUCAGUUGUGAAAGUUUGCGGCUCAACCGUAAAAUUGCAGUUGAUACUGUCAGUCUUGAGUACAGUAGAGGUGGGCGGAAUUCGUGGUGUAGCGGUGAAAUGCUUAGAUAUCACGAAGAACUCCGAUUGCGAAAGCAGCUCACUGGACUGCAACUGACACUGAUGCUCGAAAGUGUGGGUAUCAAACAGGAUUAGAUACCCUGGUAGUCCACACAGUAAACGAUGAAUACUCGCUGUUUGCGAUAUACAGUAAGCGGCCAGCGAAGGCCAUUAAGUAUUCCACCUGGGGAGUACGCCGGCAACGGUGAAACUCAAAAGGAAUGACGGAGGCCCGCACAAGCGGAGGAACAUGUGGUUUAAUUCGAUGAUACGCGAGGAACCUUACCCGGGCUUAAAUUGCAGUGGAAUGAUGUGGAAACAUGUCAGUGAGCAAUCACCGCUGUGAAGGUGCUGCAUGGUUGUCGUCAGCUCGUGCCGUGAGGUGUCGGCUUAAGUGCCAUAACGAGCGCAACCCUUAUCUUCAGUUACUAACAGGUCAUGCUGAGGACUCUGGAGAGACUGCCGUCGUAAGAUGUGAGGAAGGUGGGGAUGACGUCAAAUCAGCACGGCCCUUACGUCCGGGGCUACACACGUGUUACAAUGGGGGGUACAGAAGGCAGCUAGCGGGUGACCGUAUGCUAAUCCCAAAAGCCUCUCUCAGUUCGGAUCGAAGUCUGCAACCCGACUUCGUGAAGCUGGAUUCGCUAGUAAUCGCGCAUCAGCCACGGCGCGGUGAAUACGUUCCCGGGCCUUGUACACACCGCCCGUCAAGCCAUGGGAGCCGGGGGUACCUGAAGUACCUUUAUAAGGGAUCGUCCUAGGGUAAAACUGG
rnacentral:rRNA from 1 species